rnacentral:rRNA from 1 species
GCAGCCAUCAUUUAAAGAAAGCGUAAUAGCUCACUGGUCGAGUCGGCCUGCGCGGAAGAUGUAACGGGGCUAAACCAUGCACCGAAGCUGCGGCAGCGAACGUAUCACCCAAGACAACUUUACGGAGUUGACGAUUGACGGAGCGAAGCGACGUCAAAGCGUUCAUUAAAGUCGAGUUGGCUUAGGGAUACGUUCGUUGGGUAGGGGAGCGUUCUGUAAGCCUGUGAAGGUGUGUCGUGAGGCAUGCUGGAGGUAUCAGAAGUGCGAAUGCUGACAUAAGUAACGAUAAAGCGGGUGAAAAGCCCGCUCGCCGGAAGACCAAGGGUUCCUGUCCAACGUUAAU